GCCACUGUAUGUAAAAUACAUGCAAAAUAAUUUACCUACAUAAUAAAGCAAACCCAAUGUAUGCAAAAUAAUGUACCUACAAAAAAUGUUAUUUGAUUCAGUGUACCAACUAUUCGAAUUUUAAAAUCUUAGAUUGCUUAAAAAAAGCAAAAUAAUUUCCCCAUUGUAUGUAAAAUACAUGCAAAAUAAUUUACCUACAUAAUAAAGCAAACCCAAUGUAUGCAAAAUAAUGUACCUACAUAAAAAAAAUAUUAUUUUAUUCAAUACUAUUUUACCUAUUAUUUUGUACAUAUAAUAAUAAAAUGUGCCCAAUAUAUAUGAUGAUACAUACAAAAUAUAUGUUAUUUGCUCAUCAUAAAUUUACAUAUAGGUAGAUUAAUUAGUAUAAUAUGUUUGAUCAUAUAUGUAGUACUGUACAUACAUACGUACAUACAUACAUAUUUAUAUAUAUAUAUAUUGAGCUUGUGGUAGUACUAUAUACGUUUGAACGUAUAUAUGUAUAUAUAUAUAUAUGUGUGUGUGUGUGUGUGUGUGUGUGUGUGUGUGUGUGUGUGUGUGUGUGUUAGUGGUAAUAAUAUGCAAUAAAUUAUUUGUUCAUUGUAAUUAAGGUGAGUAAUAAUAUUUAUUGAUUUAUUUUGAAUGUUGUGGUACAAGUUGUAAAUAUUUUGUAUUAAUAGGUCCUACAUGGCAAUCACUUUUAAAUUUGGGUUUUAUUUGAAUGUUUAUAAUUAGGUGGGUUUUUAUAUAGGAAAUAAGAGUUACAAGGGUCUAUAUCUAAAGAACCCUAAAAAAAAUACCACUAAAUUAUAAUACUAAAUAGUUAAACCUCAAAUUUUAGUAUGGAUAAUCUCGUAUAUAUUAGAAGUAGGGGUGGGCAAAUGGGUAUAGGAACCGUGGGUCGAGGCGGGACCGGUUCCAAGUUUUUGAGAAUAGAAAUG
rnacentral:lncRNA from 1 species